rnacentral:tRNA from 1 species
GCUGGGCUAGUUUAUAAAAAAAUGUUGGUCUGUGGAACCAAAGAAAGUAUGGUAUACUGCCUAGCU